rnacentral:rRNA from 1 species
AUUGAACGCUGGCGGCAUGCCUUACACAUGCAAGUCGAACGGCAGCACGGGGCAACCUGGUGGCGAGUGGCGAACGGGGGAGUAAUGCAUCGGAACGUACCUUUCAGUGGGGGAUAACGUAGCGAAAGUUACGCUAAUACCGCAUAUUCUGUGAGCAGGAAAGCAGGGGAGCGUAAGACCUUGCGCUGAUUGAGCGGCCGGUGUCAGAUUAGCUAGUUGGUGAGGUAAAGGCUCACCAAGGCGACGAUCUGUAGCGGGUCUGAGAGGAUGAUCCGCCACACUGGAACUGAGACACGGUCCAGACUCCUACGGGAGGCAGCAGUGGGGAAUUUUGGACAAUGGGGGCAACCCUGAUCCAGCCAUGCCGCGUGAGUGAAGAAGGCCUUCGGGUUGUAAAGCUCUUUCGGCCGGGAAGAAAUCGCACGGGCUAAUACCCUGUGUGGAUGACGGUACCGGAAUAAGAAGCACCGGCUAACUACGUGCCAGCAGCCGCGGUAACAC